rnacentral:rRNA from 1 species
GAAAGGCGCUUUCGGGUGUCGCUGAUGGAUGGACCCGCGGUGCAUUAGCUAGUUGGUGAGGUAGCGGCUCACCAAGGCGACGAUGCAUAGCCGACCUGAGAGGGUGAUCGGCCACAUUGGGACUGAGACACGGCCCAAACUCCUACGGGAGGCAGCAGUAGGGAAUCUUCGGCAAUGGACGAAAGUCUGACCGAGCAACGCCGCGUGAGUGAAGAAGGUUUUCGGAUCGUAAAACUCUGUUGUUAGAGAAGAACAAGGAUGAGAGUAACUGUUCAUCCCUUGACGGUAUCUAACCAGAAAGCCACGGCUAACUACGUGCCAGCAGCCGCGGUAAUACGUAGGUGGCAAGCGUUGUCCGGAUUUAUUGGGCGUAAAGCGAGCGCAGGCGGUUUCUUAAGUCUGAUGUGAAAGCCCCCGGCUCAACCGGGGAGGGUCAUUGGAAACUGGGAGACUUGAGUGCAGAAGAGGAGAGUGGAAUUCCAUGUGUAGCGGUGAAAUGCGUAGAUAUAUGGAGGAACACCAGUGGCGAAGGCGGCUCUCUGGUCUGUAACUGACGCUGAGGCUCGAAAGCGUGGGGAGCAAACAGGAUUAGAUACCCUGGUAGUCCACGCCGU